AAGUACAAUUCGUCCUUCUAGAGCCAUGGGUGAAACCCCGUCCUCUAUCUCCCACUUCUCUCUCUCUCACUCUCCUCCCCCCCCCCCCCUUCAGUCACUCUCUCGCUCGUUCGCUCCCUCUCUUUCUCACAUUAGACAGGCGUCCCUUUGACUCGGCGAAGGCCGGCCACACCCAUUGACGAUAUCAGACGACAGCGAAGCCACACCUGAUAACAUUAAAAGGCCUACGUUUAAAGUGCAAGCACGUGCAUGCGCGCCCAUAGGGGCGUCUUAUUUAAGGAGAGGGGCCCUGCGCCGCGUCGAGCGCGAAGGCCGCCGUCAGCUUCAGCGGCCCCAGGCCGACUACAUCUUCUCAGUUGUGCUUCUCGGCGGCGGCAGCCAUGUACUCCUUCCGGCUGCAGCACCAACAGUUGUAGCGGAACCUAUUGCAGCAACGGUAGCGGCACCGCCGCCACGGCGGGUAGCCUCCGCCCGGGUAAGGGUAGCC
rnacentral:lncRNA from 1 species